rnacentral:rRNA from 1 species
AGAGUUUGUAUCACUGGCUCAGGAUGAACGCUAGCGACAGGCUUAACACAUGCAAGUCGAGGGGCAGCGGGGAGGUAGCAAUACUUCCGCCGGCGACCGGCGCACUGGUGAGUAACACGUAUGCAACCUGCCCCUGGUUGGGGGAUAACCCGCGGAAACGCGGCCUAAUACCCCGUAUGCGCUGUGGCCGCAUGACCGCAGCGUGAAAGAGCUUCGUCCAGGGAUGGGCAUGCGGCGCAUUAGCUAGUUGGCGGGGCAACGGCCCACCAAGGCAACGAUGCGUAGGGGUUCUGAGAGGAAGGUCCCCCACACUGGUACUGAGACACGGACCAGACUCC